rnacentral:rRNA from 1 species
GGGUAUGGCUGUUCGCCAUUUAAAGAGGUACGCGAGCUGGGUUUAGAACGUCGUGAGACAGUUCGGUCCCUAUCUGCCGUGGGCGCUGGAGAAUUGAGGGGGGCUGCUCCUAGUACGAGAGGACCGGAGUGGACGCAUCACUGGUGUUCGGGUUGUCAUGCCAAUGGCACUGCCCGGUAGCUAAAUGCGGAAGAGAUAAGUGCUGAAAGCAUCUAAGCACGAAACUUGCCCCGAGAUGAGUUCUCCCUGAGACUUUAAGUCUCCUGAAGGAACGUUAAAGACGAUGACGUUGAUAGGCCGGGUGUGUAAGCGCAGCGAUGCGUUGAGCUAACCGGUACUAAUGAACCGUGAGGCUUAACCUUACAACGCCGAAG